rnacentral:lncRNA from 1 species
AGAAAGUCGGUUUCUACUAAGUUAUACAAGCAUGAUAGUUCUCAAAGCUACUUUUUACUAAAUGAAUCAACUCACGUGGCUGUGGGUUUGAAAUUACUCCAGCAGAUUCAACACUAGCAAAAACAUGUGCAUUUGUCAUCAUGAUAGUCUGCAAGACAUAAUAAAAAGAAUUAUACUGGAACUAGUUGAAAGUAGAAGUGAAGGCAGAACAUUGCACAUAUUGUCAAUCAGAAAAUAAUUUAUCCAAAAACAUAACUAUAGAUUAAGGUGUAUGCCCAAACAGACUAUUUAAGUAAAAAUAAAACAAAUAUAGUGACUAAACAACGAUUGUUAGAUAUAAAAUCAUGUAUUUAGAUAUGUUUUGACUCAGUAUUUGACAUGGGAUGAAGCUAACCAUUCUAAAUAUUAAAUGAAGUUAAAUAGUAACAAACAUAAUAAAAAAAUAAAAAGAGAAGCGGAAAGGAAAAAUUAACCAUUUGGGCAAGGUGGUGAAAAAUCACAUUCAUCCUCACAGCCAAUCAUCAUCCUCAUUUUCACCAUGUUCAUCCUCAGAUAAAUAUUCUUCAUCUGUUGAGUCAUCACUAUCUUCAUUAUCCGAUUCAAAUACAACUUCUAAGUCUAUUUCUUCCUCAUUAUUGAGAGAAGGUGCUUCAAUACUCAAUCCAUCAAUAUUUUCUCUUUGUAUUCUAAUCAUAUCAGUGUCUGAUUCUACUUGAAGAUUUUGCUCUUCCCUUUCAACCAGGUCAAUUAAUUGAUAAGGUUCUGUUUCAUCAUCUUGCUCGGGUAGAUCAUACAAGUUUCAUGGUCUUACCCUUGCCACUGCAUUCCAAUUCUCAUUUGAUCAUGUUUAACAUAAUACACAGAUUGAGCUUGUGAUCCUAGAAUAAAUAGAUCGUUUGUAUAAUAAAGUCGUGUCACAUCCACACAUAUGAAUCCAUAUUCAUCCCUUUGGUAACCUCUACUUUGACUUCGACCAUGCGGCGGAACUUCAAACCAGUCACAUUGGAAUAAUAUCACUAAAUUUUUGUCCAAAUAUUGGAUUUCUAAUAUUCUUCUUACCUUUCCAUAAUAAUCAGCAUUUUCUGUAUAUUCAUCACUCUUUGCAACUACACCACUAUUUUGAGUUUUUAAAAAUUUCUCAGAUGCCAUUGUUCGAAACCUAAAACCAUUCAAAACAUAUCCAUUAUGGCAUUCAACUCGUAAAUCUGGACCUCUUGCCAAAGCUAGCAAUUGAUCAGUAAUUCGAUUGUCACCGUUAUAUUUUAAUUGUAGCACCUAUUAAUUACAAACUCACAAAUAUUAGUACUACUUAUAUUGUCCUAAAUAAAUAUCAACCAACAUUGAAUUAUAUAAGUUACCUUUUUCUGAAACCAUAAAGGAAAUUUCUCCUUGUGCCUCUUGGCAACAUUUCUGUUAUUCUCCUUUGUUAAUAUUUCUAAAUGUUUCCUAUAGAUGGUGAAAAUUAAAAUAAAAUGAAAAUAUUACAAGAUAGUCAUUGAAAGAAUUCAUAAGAAAGAAAAGAAUGUAAACUAAGUGAAAAGUUUUUUACUCGAUAAAAGAGCCACUUUCUGCACAAUUUUGGAGGAUGUAAAAAUGCGCUUGCUUGAUUUCAAGAUACAUUCAAUUUUGUCCAAUCACCCCCUCCAAAUGGCUUACCACGACAGUUGAAUACAGACAAGCCAUUAGGAUCCAUGUUGGAAUAAUUAGAAUUCCUAUCUGGGCGAUUUUUCUUUGUCUCCAUAUCAGUCAAAUAUUUGGAACAGAAUGCCAUGCAUUCCUCUGCAAGAUAGCCCCAGCAAUUGACCCUUCUGGGCGAGCCAUGUUGCGUACAUAACCUUUUAAUGUGCGCAACAUUCUGUUAAGUAAAGUUAUAUUAGUUUCGAGCAAAUUUCAACUAAAAGAAAAAUUUAGAGUUGUAAAAAUCUAACCUCUCGAUGAAAUACAUCCAUCGAAAUUGAACAGGACUACCCUCCUUUGCCUCCUUUGCUAAAUGGAUUGCCAAAUGAACUAUAACAUCAAAGAAUGAUGGUAGGAAUAUAUGUUCUAGUUUGCAUAUUAUCACCCGUAUACUUUUAUCUAUUUUAUCUAACUUAUCCAUAUGCAACUCUUUAGCACACAAAUUACCAAAGAAUAAUGACAAUUCAAUUAACGGAUCAUAUGCAUCCUUUGGCAAAAUCCCUUUGAUGAUAAGUGGAAAGAUACGUUGGAAAACAACAUGGUGAUCGUGACUUUUGAGUCCAAAAUGUCUAGCUUCCUUAACAUUGACACAACGACUAAUGUUAGAAGCAUAAGCAUCAGGAAACUUGACAUCUUUGAUGAGUUGACAGAAUUUAAUCUUCUUAGUUUUGGACAUUGCAUAACUAACAGGAGGAAGUAUGUACUUAUCCCCACUUUUUAUUGGAUGAAGAGGCUUUUCGAUUCUAAUCUCUUGUAUGUCCAAUCGAGAUUUCAAUGUGUCCUUUGUUUUUCCGUCAAUAUCCAACAACAUUCCUAUCACGCUUUCACUAAUAUUUUUUUCUAUAUGCAUUACAUCCAAAUUAUGUCUCAACAAUACAGUCCUCCAAUAUGGGAGUUCAAAGAAUAUACUUUUCUUCUUCCAGUUGUCAGGUCUUUCCGUAUCUCGUUUUCUAUUUCUUGUGUUGUCACCCAUGGAUCCUUGUAAGGAUGUAUUUAGUUGUGCAAGCACAUCAUAUCCACUCAAUGCUUGUGGUGCAGGUCUUUCUUCCCUUGUGUUAUCAAAAUAACUUUUGGUCCGACGAUAAGGAUGAUUUAUUUCCCAUAUAGCAAUGCUUUCGACCAUAUUUCAAGUAAAUGGAGCAAGUAUUUACAUGACAAACUGGACAAGCAAAUUUACCUUUUGUGCUCCAACUGGACAACAUGGCAUAUGCUGGAAAGUCAUUAAUUAUCCACAACAAAGAAGCACGUAAUUGAAAAUUUUGUUGCUUAAAAGCAUCAUAAGUCUCAAUUCCAUCCUCCCAUAAUUUUUUCAAAUCAUCAACCAAAGGUUGGAGAUACACAUCUAUAUUCAUACCAGGGCUUUUUGGGCCAGGAAUAAGCAACGAUAAUAAAAUAUUAGACUGUUUCAUGCAUAGCCAUGGGGGAAGAUUAUACGGAAUCAAGAAUACUGGCCACAUACUAUAGGCAUUACUCAUGGAACCAAAAGGAUUAAAACCAUCUGAAGCAAGUCCAAGUCUUACAUUACGUGGAUCUGAUGCAAAAUCCAAAUGGUUCUCAUCAAAAGUUUUCCAUGUCAGUGAGUCAGCUGGAUGCCUUAUACUCCAUCAUCAACUCGCUUAUCUUUAUGCCACCUCAUAUCUUCUGCGGUUCGUUUAGUCAUAAACAAUCGUUGUAAUCUUGGGAUCAAAGGAAAGUAUCUGAGAAUUUUUCUAGGAAUUCCUUUCUUUAUCUUAUUCAAUUUACUUGAAGCAACCUCAUUGCCAUCUUCUCCUCCUUUCCGUACUAUCCAUCUUUUCUGACCACAUUUAGGACAUUGCUCAAGAUCCGCAUAUUCCUUUCUAUAUAAGAUGCAAUUAUUAACAAAAGCAUCUAUUUUCACAUAAUCCAGACCCAAAUCUUUAAUAAUCUUUUGAACUUCAUAAAUAGAAUUAGGGAGCACGUCUUUUAGGAAAGGCAUCACUUAAUAGUUUUAACAAAGAGUCUAAUGAAGUAUUACUCCAACCAUGCAAACACUUCAUUUGAAAAAGACGCAUUACAAAAGAGAGCUUCGAGAACUUUUCACAAUCUGGAUAUAACUUCUGCUCUGCAUCCUUUAACAGCCGAUAAAAACUCUUAGCUUCUGCAUUAGGUUCUUUAUAUCUAGACUCAGCCGACUUAUCAGACGGAUCAUGAAUUAUAUUAUCUAUAGGAACACCGUGAUACAUGUCAUGCAACAUCUCGAAAGUGGCAUCAUCAUCAUUUCCUAAAUCUGAAUUUGCACUAGAAUUUAUUUCAUCAUCUGAAGAUAAAUCUGACUCACCAUGAUGAAUCCACCUAUUAUAUGUUGGAUCUAUACCCCACCUAAGUAAAUCUAUUUUCACUUCUUCUCGUAUUUUCCUACGCACAUGGUUACAGUUAGUGCACAGACAUUGAAUUCUUAAACUAAUAUUAGGAUUCGAAAAUGCAAAGUUUAAAAAUUGUUCCACGCCAUUCAAGUAUUCUGGUAAUGCCCUAUUCCUAAGAAGUAUCCAACUUUUAUCCAUCAUAUAAUAACCUACAAAAAUAUAAAAUAUUAACUGUCCCUCAAUUUUUUGUUGUCAAUUUAGCAAAAAAAUAAAUAAGGAAAAGGUCAGAGAAAGACUCUAUACUAAAAUACAGUAAAAAUAACAGCAUAUGAAUUGAAUGAACAGUGAUACAAGCGAAGCAACACGCUAUAGAUAAAUAGUAAUCAGCAAGACUCACCAGACUUUGUAGACCAAAAAUAACGAAGCAAAGAAUAGACCAGAACCAAUUGCUCAGAGCUGUAGAAUAAUAAAGGAGAAAACCUUGCUAGAAUGGUAACUGAAAUAGGCUAAGUAUUAAGGAAAAGAUAAUUAAAAGGAAGAAACUGGUUUGCCGCUUUUCUUUGGGCGGAAAGUUGAAAAAUACUAAGCUAAAUCUUAGGCCACUAACCAAACCUGUUGAGAAAAUUAAGGCGUGAACAGAACUUGUUGAGACAAUUAGGGGUUCUACCAAAUAUAAAUUAUUGCUAAUUUAUUAUAUUUUAAAACAACUAUGUUUUCAAAUAAAAUAUGGCAGCAACAAAAAACUUACCCAAAGCAACUAAAAUAGUGGGCUAAAAAUCCGGAAAAAGUGAUUAACAAUACAAAAUUUUGGCGCGUUUGAUUUUGGCGGAAAACUGAAAAAUAAUUAGCUAAGUUGUAGACCACAACCCACCUAUUUUGUAGGCAAAAAUAAAGUGUAUUGCCAACAAUAUAAAUUUACUGUUGCCAAUAUCAAAGCAAAAUAUCAUUAAUUUAUUUUAAGCCAUAUUUACAUUUGCAACUAAUGAGGAAAUUAGAGAACUAAAUUUCAGCUGCUAUUCCAGAAAAAUUGAUGAAAAACGUACCUUUUUGCGGCGAGCGGGGUCAAUGUUUAUAUCGAAGCUCCUUUUCUUUCAAUUUUUGCCAAAAUCUUCCCCUAGUUCUCUUCAAAAAUUUCAAAUUCAUGGCUGAUGGAUUAGCUGGAUUCGUCUUUAACAAAAAAGAAUUUUGAAAGAGUAAUGGUGUCAUCGAAUUGGAGAAUGUUGGGGAGUAGUCUUUGAAGCAGAGAGCAAUUGACAUUACAAUUACAAAAAGAAACAGAGAGCAAUUUGAGAACGGUGUCAGAGAUAAAAUUCUUGGUA